AUUCCUUGGUCUCGUCUGAGCAGUUAGGUUCCGCCUGUGGUUGCACAUUUGGUUCAUCUGAGGAUGUUCAGGUUAUGUGACCUUCAACCUGGGAGUCCGUGGCAACUGAAAAACAACUCACCAUUUUAUUACACAAAAUUGAACCAGAAUGGGCUGGUUCUGCGGUUACACCUCCACCACCAUCCCUCCUCUUCUCACACAGGCUGGGGCUGCUGGUUUGUUUCUACAAUGACCUGGAAUUGCUGGAUGCCACUGUGGCUCAAGUCCUGCUUUACCAGAUGAUCAAGUGCAGCCACCUGAGGGGCUUCCAGGCUGGCGUCCAGAAGGUACAGCUGGGGUGCAAGGCCCUGAGGCCUCUGCCUCAGUGUCACUAGCCAGAGAAAUGGGGAGAACAGCCUAGCUUAGCCUUUGGGAGAAAACACACAGCAUUAGUCGGGAUUUAAGUCCAGUCACAGCAGAUGGCAUCUCAAAUACUGAGCUCAAAGCAGAACUCCUGGACAUUGCCAUGGAGAACCAGACCCUCAAUGAGACCCUGGGUU
rnacentral:lncRNA from 10 species